rfam:Helianthus annuus linkage group 8, whole genome shotgun sequence.
GUCCCCUUAGGGAAAUUUGAUAAAAUUGGAACGAUACGGAGAAGAUUAGCAUGGUCUCAAUGCAAGGAUGACAUGCACAAAUCGAAAAAUGGUCAAAAUUUUU